UCCGGGUUGGGGUAGUGGCAUCCUACAGCCCUGUGGCGGCUGUGAGGCGGGUUCAAUUCCCGCACCUGGAC
rnacentral:tRNA from 1 species